GGAGAGGUGUCCGAGCGGCCGAAGGAGCCUGAUUCGAAAUCAGGUGUACCCUCACGGGUACCGCGGGUUCGAAUCCCGCUCUCUCCGCCA
rnacentral:tRNA from 1 species